GCCCUCUUAGCUCAGGGGUAGAGCGUUUCACUCGUACUUCCCAUUGUGAGUCUGAUGAUGAAAAGGUCGCUAGUUCAAUUCUGGCAGGGGGCA